GGUCGAUGAUGAAAGAAUAAGAAGGCUUGUUUCUCAAAACAUUCGCAGUGGCCGCCUAAGGGCUUUCGCCUUUCGCCAGGCUUGAGAGCCAAAUGCUGUUCUUUAUCCUUCCUUGGAUGUCUGAGACU
rnacentral:snoRNA from 1 species